rnacentral:rRNA from 1 species
GACGAACGCUGGCGGUGUGCUUAACACAUGCAAGUGGUGCGACGAACCUGGCUUCGGCCAGGGGCAAAGCCGCGAACGGGUGAGUAACACGUGGGUAAUCUGCCCCGAUGACUGGGACAACCCGAGGAAACUCGGGCUAAUACCGGAUGUGGUGCCUGGACAUAAGUCUGGUCACUAAAGGUAGCUUCGGCUUACGCAUUGGGAGGGGCCCGCGGCCCAUUAGCUUGUUGGUGGGGUCAAGGCCUACCAAGGCAACGAGGGGUAGCUGGUCUGAGAGGACGAUCAGCCACACUGGGACUGAGACACGGCCCAGACUCCUACGGGAGGCAGCAGUGGGGAAUCUUGCGCAAUGCGCGAAAGCGUGACGCAGCAACACCGCGUGAGGGAAGACGGCCUUAGGGUUGUAAACCUCUUUCAGAUGGGACGAAGGUGAUGCGGUGAAUAGCCGAUGUCAUUGACGGUACCGUCAGAAGAAGCUCCGGCUAACUACGUGCCAGCCGCCGCAGUAAAAC